rnacentral:rRNA from 1 species
UACGGAGGGUGCGAGCGUUGUUCGGAAUUACUGGGCGUAAAGCGCGUGUAGGCGGCCUUCUAAGUCUGGUGUGAAAGCCCGGGGCUCAACCCCGGAAGUGCAUUGGAUACUGGGAGGCUGGAGUACCGGAGAGGAGGGUGGAAUUCCUGGUGUAGCGGUGAAAUGCGUAGGAUAUCAGGAGGAACACCGGUGGCGAAAGGCGGCCCUCGUGGA